AUGGAAGGGGAAAACAACAAAAGGCAACAGAUAGGAAGAGUAGAGAAGAAGACAGGGAGAGGGCGGCAGAAAAGAAAAGGAAGACAGAGGACUGAGAACGACUCGGGAGAUUUAAGGAAAAAGAAAUAAGGUCCUAUUUGAAGAAUAGAAAAGAAUGAAGCGACCAAAAGAGAGAGAAGGAAAGAAGUUACAGGGAUCACAGAAAUCAUAGUUGGAGCACCCUCUUCUUCCCUACUUUCUUUUCCUUGUUUCUUGAUAGAAUUGUCCUUUUUCUUUUUUGUGCUAUUUUCAUUGAAAAAUUGCAGCACCAAUCUAGUCCUUGUCAUUAUUAUUUUUUUGUUGCUUUAAAUUUAAUUGGGUGCAUAGCAAUAUAACAAUCAUAAUGUAAAGCCCAACCUUACAUCAAUCUCCAGAUCAAUAACACCAAAUAAAUAUAAAAACCAAAAGGUGGUAGUCAAAAUAUAACAAAGUAUGCCUUUGUUGCACCUUACACCUAUAAAAAUGUGCAUGCCUCAGUUGGGUCACCUGCCUAAAUACCGUAAAUAAACUAGACAUAGCGCCUGUUGAACCUUGAGCUUGAAGCACACUCCCCAACUAUGGUAGAAAAUCAAAAUUUAAUGA
rnacentral:misc_RNA from 1 species